CAGCCGCCGCGGUAAUACCGGCGGCCCGAGUGGCGGUCACUAUUAUUGGGCUUAAAGCGUCCGUAGCCGGGGUGGGAAGGCCUCCGGGAAAUCUGGCCGCUUAACGGUCAGAAUGCCGGAGGAUACUCCCAGCCUAGGGAGCGGGGGAGGCCGAGGGGAUUCCCGGAGUAGGGGUGAAAUCCUAUAAUCCCGGGCGGACCACCUGUGGCGAAGGCGCUCGGCUGGAACGCGUCCGACGGUGAGGGACGAAGGCCAGGGGAGCAAACCGGAUUAGAUACCCGGGUAGUCCUGGCUGUAAACGAUGCGGACUUUGUGUCGGACAAGCUAUGAGCUUGUCCGGUGCCGGAGGGAAACCGUUAAGUCUGCCGCCUGGGGAGUACGGCCGCAAGGCUGAAACUUAAAGGAAUUGGCGGG
rnacentral:rRNA from 1 species